ACCAUUCCACUCUUCACUAGCUUCUGGACUUCAUAUUUGACUGGAUAGCAAUUCUCAAUGUCAUGUCCAGGUGCUCCUUGAUGAAAAGCACAAUGGAGGUCUGGUUUGUACCACCAUGGAAGUGGUUUAGGGAUUUGUGGAGGAUUUCUCGGUUGUAGUAGGUUCUUGAGAACCAAUGAUGGAUAGAGCUCUGCAUAUGUCAUAAGAAUCGGGUCGAAAGAGACCUUCUUCCUCUAGAAAGUUUGUUGUUGAUGAUUGUUG
rnacentral:lncRNA from 1 species